AACAAAAAAAACAAGUUGUUGAGAGCUCAGAAUGAUGCAUAAUACAAUCAUAGACAUUGAUCUCAGAUGUC
rnacentral:snoRNA from 2 species